rnacentral:tRNA from 1 species
GCCCGGGUGGCUCAGUCGGUUAAGCGUCUGACUUCGGCUCAGGUCAUGAUCUCACGGUCCGUGAGUUCGAGCCCCGCGUCGGGCU